CAGAGGCAAAACUCCAUUGAACACAUGGCAGCAAAAAGACAGUAAAAUACAAUAAAAUACACAAGGUUACAUUUAUGACAUAAAAUACAGACAUGCAACAUAUGCCCAGAUAGCUUAGGUCUGAGCGCACAUUAAUACUGAAUGGCACUCAGAGCACAUACAUACAGUUCAAUUGCCAUGGAGCCAAAGUCUUUCCCAUAGUCUUUCAUUAUACGAAUGGGCUCCAUGGCAUAGCUAUCUGGGGUAUCACUGCUCAAACAGGGCAAGCACCAAAUGACCCGGUUUUCUUGUCUUUGCAGGGGAAAAUCAAGCCUUUUAACAUGGGGCCAUAAUCCAAAGGCAACAGGCGAGCAACCAGGCUUCUCCAAUGCAAUGUGGCGAGAUUGCUCUCGUCACAGUCAGCAUGCGAGUCAUGGAAGAGAGAAAAUCCUAUGACUACCAAGAGUAUCAAACCACUUGAUGGUGUCACUAUUUAUCCAGGAAACUACACUUGC